rnacentral:rRNA from 1 species
ACCAGACUCCUACGGGAGGCAGCAGUGGGGAAUAUUGCGCAAUGGGCGAAAGCCUGACGCAACGACGCCGCGUGAGCGAUGAAGUAUUUCGGUAUGUAAAGCUCUAUCAGCAGGGAAGAAAAUGACGGUACCUGACUAAGAAGCCCCGGCUAACUACGUGCCAGCAGCCGCGGUAAUACGUAGGGGGCAAGCGUUAUCCGGAUUUACUGGGUGUAAAGGGAGCGUAGACGGCUGUGCAAGCCAGAUGUGAAAGCCCGGGGCUCAACCCCGGGACUGCAUUUGGAACUGCGUGGCUUGAGCGUCGGAGAGGCAGGCGGAAUUCCUAGUGUAGCGGUGAAAUGCGUAGAUAUUAGGAGGAACACCAGUGGCGAAGGCGGCCUGCUGGACGAUGACUGACGUUGAGGCUCGAAAGCGUGGGGAGCAAACAGGAUUAGAUACCCCAGUA